rnacentral:RNase_P_RNA from 2 species
GCAGCUCCAAGGUCACAAUGCUCGUUACGAACCGAUGGACUGGCUAGGUGAGUUGUACUUUUCAAUCCUCUCAACCUCAACCAACACCCUUCCCCUAUCCAUCUCCGUAUCACCCAAUGCUGACUCAUCUCUUCUAUUUAUUAUAGCCAAUACCAUCCCCACUCGCGAGCGGGCCAAGGUCCUGGAAUUUCAACCCCCCUUUCACCUCUCCUCUUCGCGAGGAGCGGUGUCUGACCGAUCUUAGCGGAUCCUUGCGUUAAUUCGACCAAGCAAUUCCCGACCAGAAAUGCGUCCUCUCCCUUUCUCUCGCGGCUCGUCCGUGAGAAGCCCGUAGAAGCGUCGCUCGCCCGCGUGGAGGGUAUAAUUGGAUGAAUUGGACUUGGUAUGGGAAUGGUGGGGUAGCCUUAUAUCGAAGUUUUCGACCUUUCCUUCAAGAGGAUCAAGGUUGAAAGUCUCCUUUAUGUUAUGGAGAAGUGCUUUAACAGCCCCGAUAUACAAACAGGCUUUAGUGCAAUUUGGUGACGUCCUCUUUUAUCUCACAACAAAACUUUCUCUCUUCAUCUAGAAGGAGAAGGGAGGAUAACUCGAUCAGGACUACUCUGGGACUGC